UCCCUGAUGGUCCAGUGGUUAAGACUCUGCACUUCUCCUGCAGGGGGGCACAGGUUCGAUCCCUGGUUGGGGAA